rnacentral:rRNA from 1 species
UUGUGGCUGGGGGUGAAAGGCCAAUCAAACCGGGAGAUAGCUGGUUCUCCCCGAAAGCUAUUUAGGUAGCGCCUCGUGAAUUCAUCUUCGGGGGUAGAGCACUGUUUCGACUAGGGGGCCAUCCCGGCUUACCAACUCGAUGCAAACUGCGAAUACCGAAGAAUGUUAUCACGGGAGACACACGGCGGGUGCUAACGUCCGUCGUGAAGAGGGAAACAACCCAGACCGCCAGCUAAGGUCCCAAAGUCAUGGUUAAGUGGGAAACGAUGUGGGAAGGCCCAGACAGCCAGGAUGUUGGCUUAGAAGCAGCCAUCAUUUAAAGAAAGCGUAAUAGCUCACUGGUCGAGUCGGCCUGCGCGGAAGAUGUAACGGGGCUAAACCAUGCACCGAAGCUGCGGCAGCGACGCUUAGGCGUUGUUGGGUAGGGGAGCGUUCUGUAAGCCUGCGAAGGUGGCCUGUGAGGGCUGCUGGAGGUAUCAGAAGUGCGAAUGCUGACAUAAGUAACGAUAAUGCGGGUGAAAAACCCGCACGCCGGAAGACCAAGGGUUCCUGUCCAACGUUAAUCGGGGCAGGGUGAGUCGACCCCUAAGGCGAGGCCGAAAGGCGUAGUCGAUGGGAAACAGGUUAAUAUUCCUGUACUUGGUGUUACUGCGAAGGGGGGACGGAGAAGGCUGGGUUAUCCGGGCGACGGUUGUCCCGGUUUAAGCGUGUAGGUGGGUGUUUUUGGUAAAUCCGGAACACCGUUAACA